rnacentral:rRNA from 1 species
UACAGAGGGUGCAAGCGUUGUUCGGAAUUAUUGGGCGUAAAGCGCGUGUAGGCGGCUUUGCAAGUCGGGGUGUGAAAGCCCUCAGCUCAACUGAGGAAGUGCGCCCGAAACUGCAGAGCUUGAGUACCGGAGAGGAUGGUGGAAUUCCCCAAGUAGAGGUGAAAUUCGUAGAUAGUGGGGAAGGAACACCGGUGGCGAAGGCGACCUCUGGACGGAUACUGAACGCUGAGACGGCGAAAAGCGUGGGGAGCAAACAGGG